GUAGGUGGCAAGCGUUGUCCGGAUUUACUGGGCGUAAAGGGCGUGCAGGCGGUCUGCUAAGUCUAGGGUGAAAGCUCCCGGCUCAACUGGGAGAGGUCCUUGGAUACUGGCGGACUUGAGGGAGGUAGAGGAGAGUGGAAUUCCCGGUGUAGUGGUGAUAUGCGUAGAUAUCGGGAGGAACACCAGUGGCGAAGGCGGCUCUCUGGGCCUUUCCUGACGCUGAGACGCGAAAGCGUGGGGAGCGAACCGGAUUAGAUACCCGGGUAGUCCACGCCGUAAACUAUGGACACUAGGUGUGGGGGGUAUCGACCCCUUCCGUGCCGAAGCUAACGCAAUAAGUGUCCCGCCUGGGGAGUACGGCCGCAAGGCUA
rnacentral:rRNA from 1 species